rnacentral:rRNA from 1 species
UACGGAGGGGGCUAGCGUUGUUCGGAAUUACUGGGCGUAAAGCGCACGUAGGCGGAUUGGAAAGUUGGGGGUGAAAUCCCAGGGCUCAACCCUGGAACUGCCUUCAAAACUCCCAGUCUGGAGGUCGAGAGAGGUGAGUGGAAUUCCGAGUGUAGAGGUGAAAUUCGUAGAUAUUCGGAAGAACACCAGUGGCGAAGGCGACUCGCUGGACAAGUAUUGACGCUGAGGUGCGAAAGCGUGGGGAGCGAACAGG